GUCUAUAGCCAUGCCAUCCUGAACGAGCCCGAUUUCGUCUGAUCUCGGAAGCUAAGCAGGGCCAGGCCUGGUUAGUACUUGGAUGGGAGACCACCUAGAUAUACAAGGUGCUAUAGGUG
rfam:Pteropus alecto contig28363, whole genome shotgun sequence.